ensembl:misc_RNA Metazoa_SRP Metazoan signal recognition particle RNA
GCCAGGCAUAGUGGCAUGUGCCUGUAGUCCCAGCUACUUGGGAGGCUGAGGCAGGAGAAUUGCUUGAACCCAGGAGGCAGAGGUUGCAGUGAGCCGAGACAGUGCCACUGCAACCCAGCCUGGGUGACAGAGCAAGACUCUGUCUCAA